AGCCUGCUUAACUCAAUCGGUAGAGUAUCGGUUUUGUAAACCGAAGGUUACCGGUUCAACUCCGGUAGUAGGCUA
rnacentral:tRNA from 1 species